CACGUAGGGGGCAAGCGUUGUUCGGAAUUAUUGGGCGUAAAGGGCGUGCAGGCGGUCUUGCAAGUCUGACGUGAAAGAUCUCGGCUUAACCGAGGGAACGCGUUGGAAACUGUAAGACUUGAGUACAGAAGGGGACAUUGGAAUUCCAGGUGUAGGGGUGAAAUCUGUAGAUAUCUGGAAGAACACCGGUGGCGAAGGCGACUCACUGGCCAAAUACUGACGCUGAGGUGCGAAAGCGUGGGGAGCAAACGGG
rnacentral:rRNA from 1 species